UACGCAGGGGGCUAGCGUUGCUCGGAAUCACUGGGCGUAAAGCGCACGUAGGCGGCUUUCUAAGUCAGGGGUGAAAUCCUGGAGCUCAACUCCAGAACUGCCUUUGAUACUGGAGAGCUUGAGUCCGGAAGAGGUGAGUGGAACUCCGAGUGUAGAGGUGAAAUUCGUAGAUAUUCGGAAGAACACCAGUGGCGAAGGCGGCUCACUGGUCCGGUACUGACGCUGAGGUGCGAAAGCGUGGGGAGCAAACAGG
rnacentral:rRNA from 1 species